rnacentral:rRNA from 1 species
AGAGAGAGACAUGCGCGCAUAUCAAUAAGCGGAGGAAAAGAAACUAACUAGGAUUCCCUCAGUAACGGCGAGUGAAGCGGGAAGAGCUCAAAUUUGAAAUCUUCAAGGUUCUACCUUGACGAAUUGUAGUUUAAAGAAGUGUUUUCUGUUGGAGUUUUGGUAAAAGUUCUUUGGAAUAGGACAUCAUAGAGGGUGAGAAUCCCGUAUUUGACCAUUAUUUCCAGCUUUGUGAUACACUUUCAAAGAGUCGGAUUGUUUGGGAAUGCAGUCCAAAAUGGGUGGUAAAUUUCAUCUAAAGCUAAAUAUUGGCGAGAGACCGAUAGCGAACAAGUACCGUGAGGGAAAGAUGAAAAGAACUUUGAAAAGAGAGUUAAACAGUACGUGAAAUUGUCAAAAGGGAAGCGUUUGACACCAGUGUUGUUUUUCUGAAAAUCAAUUAAAAAAGGCAGGAUUUUGUGUUGUAUUGACUUUAUCAGCUUUCUGCACUCUUUUCUUGUCUUUUUUAAUGCACUUUUCGUUUAACAAGUCAACAUCAAUUUCUUUUGCUGUAAAAAAGCUUGAGGAAGGUGGCUUGAGAUUCGUCUUAAGUGUUUAUAGCCUCUUGCCUAUGCAGUCGGAGAGAUUGAGGUCUGCAGCGUAGAUCCUUCGGGGUUAGAUACAUUUGUGCUAAGUUAUAGCCUUUCAUAGACAACUUGUUGACUAUGAUCAGUCAUGUAGCUUACUCGCUUAUGCUAUUUUACCUACGCUUAGGAUGUUGAUGUGAUACUGCGAGC